GUUGAUCUGAAAACCAUAAGUUCUUGUCUCUAUUCUCUGUACCAGGUCCACUUUGUGGCUUCAUGCGGGCAAUAUCCAAGUCUUUUGUCCUUUGGCAGGCUCGGUGGUGCACUACAACAUAAAUGCCUGUAAUUUUACAACCACAAAAUAGUGUAUUCUUACCAACAGAGGAUGGCCUCAAAGUGUUCAGACAGUUGCACAGGCGGCUAAUUUGGGAUAGAUGCACAACAUCCCUUUGAAGUUGUGCUUUAGUGCUAGUGCUCAGAAAACCCCCCUCUAGAAAACAGCGCAUAACAGCUUCUCUUUAGUGCACUGUUUUAGUUGCUGAAGGGAAGGUAAUGUAGCAUUUGAUUAAGUGGAAGGCUGAUUAAUUAACUAAAACAGGGCAUGCAUGUCUCUGAGUGCAAAGUGUGGCAAGAAAGUGAUCCAGGUCACCUUGUAUAUUUCAUUUCAAAGAAUUGUGGUUUGUUUCCUCCUCAACAGACUGAAUCAUGCAGGUUAUUUUUGGUAUAUAUCCAGAGUGCCCUCAGAAGAUAUUUAUACAUUGAUAAGAUGAUUCAUGUUUUCUGUGAGGGGUUAAAAUAUUGGCCACAGCAUUGCAGAGACAGAGAAACUCACUCAGUGUCUUUUCCACUGCAGAGUUUUAGAGAUGGCAGAGAUUAUGGGAGGAUAACACUGCACAACAUGGCCGCCCCAAACCAGAUCAAAGCAAAGACAAUCAAAGCCAGAGUGAAAGCUACAGCAACAGCUACUGGUUUCAGUUCAUUUCUGUAUGGUAUGGAAAUCAACAUCAGAGACUUGCUUGAAAAAGAAGGCUUGAGGCAGCUAAAGGACUAGUGACAAUAUAACAGAAAUCCCAGAUCCAUCCUGAAGUGGUAAUUGACUGAGCUACAGAUACAAAGAUGCCGAGAGCCUUUUACAUA